CCCGCAACGAGCGCAACCCUCGCCCUUAGUUGCCAGCAUUUAGUUGGGCACUCUAAGGGGACUGCCGGUGAUAAGCCGAGAGGAAGGUGGGGAUGACGUCAAGUCCUCAUGGCCCUUACGGGCUGGGCUACACACGUGCUACAAUGGUGGUGACAGUGGGCAGCGAGCACGCGAGUGUGAGCUAAUCUCCAAAAGCCAUCUCAGUUCGGAUUGCACUCUGCAACUCGAGUGCAUGAAGUUGGAAUCGCUAGUAAUCGCGGAUCAGCAUGCCGCGGUGAAUACCGGUUCCCGGGCCUU
rnacentral:rRNA from 1 species